rnacentral:lncRNA from 1 species
UUUUUAUCUAUUCAAUUAACACCCUAGGAGUCUUUAACAAUUUACAAACCUAGGCAAACAGAAAACAAACAAACAAAUAUUUAACAAACGGAUUAAAAGCAAACAAAACUUGAAAACUGACAAAUAAACCUAAACUCUAAAAUAAAACCAAUUUUUAAUAAACUUUAGAUUAAUCAUGAAAUUAAACCUAACCAACAGUUAAUUAAAGAUGCAUUCAUACUAAAACAUGGUUCAAGAAACAGCAAGAGGAUAACCGAUACUACCAACUAUCUAAUGAGCUAAAUUAAUCAUGAACUAAGCCAAAUAGUAAACCUUAAAUGAAACUUGCAUAAACACUGGAAUACAUCUGAAACCAAAAUGACUAAAUUGAUGCACCCUAAAACAAAAUUACUAACUAAACACUUUCAAAGAACAAACAGAUUUAUAAACUAAAAAAAAUCAAAUUAGGGAAAACACUGACUCAACAUUUGAAGAAAAGAAAAGAGAUAAAGAAAGAAAAAGAAAUGGAGAGCUAGAGUGAUGAUACCUUACCAAUUGGACUGGAAAACAACAAACGAACUAAGCCUUGAGAUCCGUUUCACCCCGAUUGACCAAAAGAGGUCUUUUAUUUCAAGGGAUCCAGUCUUGCAUGGCUUUGACCGGAUCUCGUUGAAAGAGAAGACUUCUAGAAGCCUAACCUUUGAAGGAAAAAUAAUAAGGAGCUUGGAUUCGGUCAAAACAGAGACCCCUUCUUAGAUUUGUAAUUCCGGAGUUUUGCAAGGUUAUUUGGAAAAAUUAGUGAGGUAUUUAGGAAGAGGAGGGUAAGGGGUGGCCUGGUGAAAUUUUGGGUCGAUUUGGAAGGAUUAUGGUUUUUGUCACGACCCAAAUCGAUGGGCCGCGACGGGCACCCGACACCUUACUCAACCAAGCACCAACGUAACGUAUAUUUCUUAUCACAUCAUCAUAUACACGUAAAAUACAAGCCUAAUAGGCCAACAUAAUCAUUUAUAAACUCAAGACAUAGGCCGACAAGGCCAUACAAUCUUUCACGUACACGCCAUAUGUCUACAAGACUCUAAGAAUACAUAAAUGCCAUAAGGGUCGGGACAGAGUUCCGCCACACUAAACAAUACACGUCUAAAUAAUACUAACCAGACGAGCAACUCCGAAGCAAAUGGAGCGCACCAACAUCUUCCGUUGAGCUGAUAGCGUACUUGGAGGGCUCUCGAUCUGUCUAUCAGGACCUGCGGGCAUGAAACGCAGCGUCCCCAGGCAAAAGGGACGUCAGUACGAAUAAUGUACCAAGUAUGUGAGGCAUAGAAGCAUAAACAAGAACAGUAAUGUAAAGAGAGACAGAUGAGAUACAACCUGUAACAUUUGAGUGCCUCUGGGGGCUACUGAUAUGAAAUGCAUAAUAUAUAUAUAUAUAUACAUUAAACUUUUUUUUUUAAACAUUCGCCUCUAUGGGCAUCAUCAUCAUCAUAUCGUACCCAGCCUCAAAGAGGACUCGGUAAAAACGUACCCGGCCAUCAAAAGGCUUGGUAGAAUCAUACCCCGCCACGUGGAGCUUGGUAAAUCCAACUUAUCAGUGGUUGCACAAUAGGUGUCGUACCCGGCCGAAUAUAGCGCGGCUCGGUAGAGUAAAAUAUAUACAUAUAUAUUCUGNNNNNNNNNNNNNNNNNNNNNNNNNCAAUGUCUCGUUACCCGGUAGUUAAUCAAUUACCCGCAAAAUUUGAAAAUUAUUCCCACUUACUUAAAAGAUUACUCUCUUUUAACAUACCUUGUACACCUUAGUAGCAUGACCAUGUAGUACCUUGUAUGGUACUAGUUCAUAAAUAUCGGGUAUUUUAACUCGGGCCGUAUUUUAUUCCAAAAUACCAAACUUUGACAAAAAUUUGUUUUCUUAGACUUGCUCCCCCUUUCACCUUCAUGAAUUUACUAAUCACUUGUAAAAUAGUAUAAUCCUUAUAAUUCCCAAAUAAUCUUUUCCUUGGACUGAUGUCAAUUAUCUUACAACAAAUUCAAUGUAAAAUAUUGUAGGGUGUAACACCGUCGUAACUUAUUACCACAUAACAUAACAUUGUCGUAAUAUAAUACUGCGGGACAUAAUAUUGACGUAAUGUUGCAGGAUGUAACAUCAUUCCCCCCUUUGGAACAUUCGUCCUCGAAUGUUGACUGACGUUCUUAUCAUUUUCGUAACGUACAACUCUUGUGAAUACAUUAAUACUCUUCUUGUCAUUCAAGCAGUUGCUCUGUGAAUAAAUUCCAAGUUUAGGGUAUUCACCCCUUUAGUCCUUUUUGCUCGAUACUUUGUAGAACUUGCGAAUAUGGCCAUAUCUUAUUUCAUAUAUCUAGUUACCCAUUCACAUGACUUUACUGCAUUUACGUGGGUUAUACUAUGCCAUAAUUUUCACUUCAACCUACCUUUACUGAGGUACGUCUACCAAACUCCCAGUUACUUUUGUUGCAUAUCUCUUAGGUAUAAAUAUCAAUCCUUUAAUGCUCCUUCAUUACCGUCCGUCUUAAGAACGGCGGCCUAAUCUCAUCUCAUACUUGUGAAUUUUGUCCAUCCAUUAUUUAUUUGCCUCAAUAUUAAUCUACAAUAUACCACUAUACCACUGAUAACUUGACCUUUUAGGUGUAACACUGUCGUUAGGGCCCAUGUCUCAUCAGGACAUCUGAAAUGAUUAAACUGAUCCACAUGGGGUUAUACCAGGCGUUUAUAACUGUAUCUCAUAUCAUCCCAACGUGAUUCAUCUUAUGUGGGUAUUUUAAUCAUGUGUAAUUCAUGAAAUCCUCUUCAAAUCUUUACUCAAUCGAAGGCCCAAACUUCAUCCUUUAUCUUUCGCAAAUAUACCUUCAUUUUGUUACCAGGGUAGCAUUCUAUCUCGUCUAAAUGUUAUUAGUCUUAGACUCUUUUGAGUUCAUUCGGGUUAUACUGAGCUUUCUAUAACUUAGAGAAACCAUUAUCUCUCUUGUUUCCAUGGACAUAAUCCUGAGGACUUUAUCCAUUCUCAUCACCUUCCCACUUGCCUUUUCUUAUCCUUAUUCUUGUCUUCGAGAACUCUGUCUCUUUACCAUUCCUUAUCUUGCGACCUACACAUAUAUGUUUAUACUACUCGUAACUUUUAUUCAACUUGCUUGCACCAUUGAUUUCCUUAUGUUAUUCUAGAUAUCAGGCAAAACAUUACAUCAUUUCUCACUUUUCUUUACUCUCUUAAUUAGGUUUCUCGAUACCGAGAAACCAUAAGCUGUGAGAUAUGCCACUAUCAUUCCUGGAUAUUGAAUCCCAACACAUCUAGCCUUUUAUCCGAUGUAUGGACUAUUCACAUAUUCUGCCUUUGAGUAUCUCACACGCUGUUUACCUCUACCUUCUUACCUUAAAAUCUCACAUUGUAUCUUCUAUCUCUUUCAUGACCUUCCUUCCACAUAGGUACAAUUCACGUCUAUACUUGAAGCUCUAUUAUAAUUUUUACACCUUUGGUGCAUACACAAUCCGGUGGGAGCUUCGUACUGACUUUUGAUGAGGCUGGUACUCUUCAGUUGGCUUCAUCAUAGAGCAAUUAUAAAAUGUCACUAUUGUACUAUCUUUCUUAUACUUCUGCUACUUAAGAGUGAUCCGGAGGUCUAUAAUUCGUUUGGUCCUCCUAUUUUGCUUAGUCGAUGUAACUCUUUCAUCUCCUCUUUUUUCUGAUCAGCCUCUAUGUAGGCUUAAGAUAUCUUCUAACAUGCUGCUUCUGGUAUUAGUUAUUUUGUUUAUCCUUUCAUGGGCAUUGAGGAAUAUGCAUGAUACAAUCCUUUAACAAUUUAAUCCUUUGUUUAUGACCUAGGCUCUUUUAACGUAUACCAAAAUCAUCUACGGCUGUAUAUGCUGCAUAUAUAAAACUCCAAACCCUUAGGUGAGUUCGUAAUGUAACUAACUCUGGAUCAUUGAUCGAGUAAUUCCCCCUUUUUUUCCAUCUUAGCUCUCCUUAAACAUAAGCUAUUAUUUUUCCUGAUCUUUCUGCCCCGUUGUUGCGUCCAUACUUAGCUUAUCCUAGUGCCCAUAUAUAUUGAAAUUCCAUACAACGCAUAUGAUCCUAAAUAUUACUUCUGAUUUUACUCCUUGUUUAUUAGCCACUGUAGGUGCCACUUUCUUAGGGAGUACAUAUAAUUUUAUUUUGAGACUGUUGUCACACGACCAUUUCCUCUUUAGGUCGUUGUGCUAAGGUUGAAAUCUUCUUCCUUAUUUCAGCUAGUCUUUCAUCGUAGUACUUAGGGAAGACCCUCUAACGCUUGUAAAGAUGUGAGCUUAUUAUAUCGUAUUUCCGGUAGAUUUUUUUUUAUGUUCAUGCUCACUUGUAAUUAUCCUUAGUUACUUACCUCCAUACUCAUCUGCUCGUACGGCUGCUUCUAAACUGAUGUUUUGACUGUCUUCCUAGUGGAACUGUCUUUUACUUCUGUAACACUCAUACGGUACCUUUAACUACCCCAACUCCUAUUUGAAUAUUUCUCAAGUAUUAUAAUGAUAUUCCCCGAGGCUGAAUUCUCCAUGUUGGGUUCUGUUAUGUGUAUUUUACACGAUCUGAUGACUCGUCUGUAACUUCAUGUUUAGCCAUAACUGGGAUCCUAACCAAUUACUAACUACUCGUUGGCCCAUUCUCAUGUCAAUAUUCCUCGUAAUCUUUCUUGUGUUAUUUCCUUUGUCUUAACUUGCGUCUCGCACUGGCUCCAGAUUUACUAAUAACAGCUCGGAUAGGAACCUUUACUCCCUCUCUUUGACGUCAUGCUUGCACAAUAUUCUUGAAUCGUAGCGUAUCUAUAAGAUUUGAAUAAGUGUCAUCUCAUUCAUGUUUCAUUUAUCACAUUCUUCCUUUAUCAUUCCAUAGUCACUAGAACUACUUAAUUCUGACUUAAUGCCACAUCACUCCAUAUUCCCCCCUUUAGGGGUGUACUAAAAGUUGAAGCCACGAGGAUCUACCUAUAGAUGUUUUACCUCUUCAUCUUUGGUGUCGUUUCUCAAUAUCAAUGAUCCUUACUCGCCUUACGGCAAUUCUUCUGUACCAAGGAUGACAAAUUCCCUUACUCGCGAGGGUUACACUUAGCGUAACUGGCACAUACAGUCUCUUAAACUUAACUUUGCUUACAUUGCUUGCUCUAGGGAAGCGUCUCCCUGAAUGACUAUUCUCUGAAUUCAUUGUGAAUUUUCUUCUGUGGUCCCUUCUAUUAUCGCCGGAACGAAAUCCAAAAUUCCCAUGACGCUUAGUACUUUCCAAUCUUUCAGUCCAUAAUUCAUAUUUAGUUUAUCUUGUUUACCAGUCCAUACUAAUUUCUGUUACUCUGGUGAUUAACUCUCCCCUCUGGUAGUCGUGUUGGAGUCUCGAACUUAUUUCUUGAUAUGAGGAUAUAACCUUAUGGUCUAUACUAUUUCCUUGUCUUAAGGACCAUCACCUUUCGUCUCUUUCUUCAUUUGACUAUAGGUUCUGUAACACUCUACCGUUUGCAUCCAUGUAUCACACCUUAUUUAUAAUGCUUCCUUAUCUCUCUUCUCAUUAUUCUACUAAUAUUUCUGCAUAUCCCUUUUCUUGUGAAAACUUCAAUACGACAUUCUCAAGUUACUUCACGUUCUCGCUUUACUAGGGACACGAGCCACACUAAGGUAAUAUUUAUUCCAUCAAGGCUUAUAGUGCAUGUCUUUGUAUUACUCAUAUCUGCCUGCGCUAUUUUGGAGUGGACCAUCUAGGUGUCUUAUAAAGAGAUCUAUUAGCACAUUUGCAAUAUUCUUCGGAAAUGUCAACUGACACAAUCAAUUCAUCCAUCAUAUCUUCUUAUACUACUUUUGUUAACCCCCAUAGGGCAUGACUGAGAUAGGUGUGGCCAAUUGUACGUACAUCUGUUAUUGUUGAAGGUAACUCAAAAUGCUUAUAUCUUCCUUCCUGAAUGAUAGUCUUUAUUAACUGGGUGCCUCGUACCCUUCUUCACCUUUCUUAUUUUUCUUGCUGAAACUUGUGUCUAACUUCCGAUUCCGUUAUUCUUUUUUUUACCGUAAGAGUGGAUAAGUAUUCUUGCCAUAAAGCUCCUCAUCAAGAACCUUAUACGUCUUAGCACAUACAUGAUCUACUAAAGAUAGUACAUUUACGUAUCAUAUGCAUAAUGAAAAAUCGACUUCCUUUUACUCAACUCUUCCACAACUAUUUCUCUUCCCAACCUUCUUUCUGGAUGUAGGUAUCGUCUUAUUACAAAUAAUAAAUAAAAAAAUAAUAAUUUUGGAAUUUGACUUCUUAUAAGUGAGCUCUACCACACGAUCUAGAGUAAGAAGAAAGAGUGACAAUCCUAAAUGUCUUGUAGCCUCCUGCUUAUAAGUGUGGUGCACGACACACCCAUAAACAAGACUCUACUAGACACGGCUUGUAGACAUCCCUAAGAAAGAACUGCUUUGAUACCACUUUUGUCACGACCCAAAUCGAUGGGCCGCGACGGGCACCCGACACCUUACUCAACCAAGCACCAACGUAACGUAUAUUUCUUAUCACAUCAUCAUAUACACGUAAAAUACAAGCCUAAUAGGCCAACAUAAUCAUUUAUAAACUCAAGACAUAGGCCGACAAGGCCAUACAAUCUUUCACGUACACGCCGUAUGUCUACAAGCCUCUAAGAAUACAUAAAUGCCAUAAGGGUCGGGACAGAGUUCCGCCACACUAAACAAUACACGUCUAAAUAAUACUAACCAGACGAGCAACUCCGAAGCAAAUGGAGCGCACCAACAUCUUCCGUUGAGCUGAUAGCGUACUUCGAGGGCUCUCGAUCUGUCUAUCAGGGCCUGCGGGCAUGAAACGCAGCGUCCCCAGGCAAAAGGGACGUCAGUACGAAUAAUGUACCAAGUAUGUGAGGCAUAGAAGCAUAAACAAGAACAGUAAUGUAAAGAGAGACAGAUGAGAUACAACCUGUAACAUUUGAGUGCCUCUGGGGGCUACUGAUAUGAAAUGCAUAAUAUAUAUAUAUACAUAAACUUUUUUUUUAAACAUUCGCCUCUAUGGGCAUCAUCAUCAUCAUAUCGUACCCAGCCUCAAAGAGGACUCGGUAAAAACGUACCCGGCCAUCAAAAGGCUCGAUAGAAUCAUACCCCGCCACGUGGAGCUUGGUAAAUCCAACUGAUCAGUGGUUGCACAAUAGGUGCCGUACCCGGCCGAUUAUAGCGCGGCUUGGUAGAGUAAAAUAUAUACAUAUAUAUUCUGAACCUUCCGGAGUGACGUAAGGUCGAUAUUUUUCGUACACAUUAUUAUGAAUAACUCUUGAUCAAGAAUCUUAUAAGAAUCAGAAGUACCAACAACAUUGAUAACAUAAGGAUAAGAGAAGCAACAUCAACAUUAAUCGCUCCAUAAGAAGGGAAACAAUGUAAGUACUGUUAGCUUCUAAGAGUAGAGUAUCUUUGGGAGCUCGUUCAUUACGUUAUGUACAAUCUGAGUUGUGCAAAAUAAGGAAAUGAAUAGUAGUAGGAGAUAAAAGACGAUGAAGCAUAAGUUAAUGACCUAAAUCUUCAAAAUUAUAUUAGAUACCUUAGUAUCUGAUCAUUGUCAUGGCUAAGUUGUGAUCCUAAAUAUAUGGGACCACACAGAUUGCUAUUAAACUAUGUCCAUGAGACAAGCAUAAUAGAUGCUAUGGAAAUCUCUUACAACAAAUCAUGUACCAAAGGCCAUAAGACAUAGUGGAACUCCAAGAGAAAAAGA